AGUUAUGACAAAGUCAACUAGAAGGGAGAUGUUUGAUUUCUAAAAUUAAAAGUUUAAAUAAUGUAUUUUUUUAAUUUUUAAUUUUUUUUUUGGCUUUUUAAGAAAUUUGUUAAAAAGUCUUUUAAAUGUUAAUAUACUUGCAUUAUUUGCAGAAAGGAUACAAUUGAAUAUGGCAAUAUUACAGAUAGAUAACAGAAAAUUAAAGAAAGAAAGAGAUCUAUUGAGGAAUGUGAAAGAAAAUUUGCGACUUCAACUUUCUACUCAAAAUGAAUUGUUGACUUCAUUUAAGGACAGAAUGGAACAAGAGACUCAAGCAAAUAGACUCAGAGAACAAGGUUUUUUUUAUAUUUUAUCAAUUACAAUCAAUAAAGCUUAGCACAUGU
rnacentral:sRNA from 1 species